rnacentral:ncRNA from 1 species
UACCUGGUUGAUCCUGCCAGUAGUCAUAUGCUUGUCUCAAAGAUUAAGCCAUGCAAGUCUAAGUACGAGCUCUCGUACAGUGAAACUGCGAAUGGCUCAUUAAAUCAGUUAUGGUUCAUUUGAUCGUACAGUUUACUUGGAUAACUGUGGUAAUUCUAGAGCUAAUACAUGCGAGAAGCGCCGACCUCGCGGGAGGCGUGCAUUUAUCAGACCAAAAACCGGCCGCGUCUUCGGGCGCGUUCGCCUUGGUGACUCUGGAUAACUUUGCGGAUCGCACGGUCUAGCACCGGCGACGGAUCAUUCAAGUGUCUGCCCUAUCAACUUUCGUCGGUACGGUAUUUGCCUACCGAGGUUCUUACGGGUGACGGGGAAUCAGGGUUCGAUUCCGGAGAGGGAGCCUGAGAAACGGCUACCACAUCCAAGGAAGGCAGCAGGCGCGCAAAUUACCCAUUCCCGACGCGGGGAGGUAGUGACGAAAAAUAACAAUGCAGGACUCGUUCGAGGCCCUGUAAUUGGAAUGAGUACACUUUAAAAGCUUUAACGAGUAUCCAUUGGAGGGCAAGUCUGGUGC